GCGAGCGGCGGAUGGGUGAGUAACACGUGGGGAACCUGCCCCUAAGUCUGGGAUACCAUUUGGAAACAGGUGCUAAUACCGGAUAAUAAAGCAGAUCGCAUGAUCAGCUUUUGAAAGGCGGCGUAAGCUGUCGCUAAGGGAUGGCCCCGCGGUGCAUUAGCUAGUUGGUAAGGUAACGGCUUACCAAGGCGACGAUGCAUAGCCGAGUUGAGAGACUGAUCGGCCACAUUGGGACUGAGACACGGCCCAAACUCCUACGGGAGGCAGCAGUAGGGAAUCUUCCACGAUGGACGCAAGUCUGAUGGAGCAACGCCGCGUGAGUGAAGAAGGUUUUCGGAUCGUAAAGCUCUGUUGUUGGUGAAGAAGGAUAGAGGUAGUAACUGGCCUUUAUUUGACGGUAAUCAACCAGAAAGUCACGGCUAACUACGUGCCAGCAGCCGCGGUAAUACGUAGGUGGCAAGCGUUGUCCGGAUUUAUUGGGCGUAAAGCGAGCGCAGGCGGAAAAAUAAGUCUAAUGUGAAAGCCCUCGGCUUAACCGAGGAACUGCAUCGGAAACUGUUUUUCUUGAGUGCAGAAGAGGAGAGUGGAACUCCAUGUGUAGCGGUGGGAAUGCGUAGAUAUAUGGAAAAAACACCAGUGGCGAAGGCGGGCUCUCUGGUCUGCAACUGACCCUGAGGCUC
rnacentral:rRNA from 1 species